rnacentral:rRNA from 1 species
AGAAUCAACGCUGGCGGCGUGCCUAACACAUGCAAGUCGAACGAGAAAGUGGAGCAAUCCAUGAGUAAAGUGGCGCACGGGUGAGUAACACGUGACUAACCUACCCUCGAGUUGGGAAUAACCUCGGGAAACCGGGGCUAACACCGCAUAACAUCUACGGAUCAAAUGCGUAAGCAGCUUGAGGAGGGGGUCGCGGCUGAUUAGCUAGUUGGCGGGGUAAUGGCCCACCAAGGCAGUGAUCAGUA